CCUUAUACACGGAAUCGUCCGUGUAAGAAUUAAAAUAAAAAUUAAAUUACACUGCCCUGACAAACCUUCGCACCGGUUUGUUUACUUCUCAAACACUGUUUGGUUGGCAAUAGCGUGAGUGAAUGGUGUGAGUGUAUUGGGGAGAAUGAGUGUACAUCGCUUGUAAGCGAGGGGUGCGUGAAUGUUUGAUUGGUUGAAUAUUUAGUUUUGUUUUGUAAUUUUGUUAGGAAAAAGGUCAUCUAAUCGUUGGUAGCAUGCCAACGAUUGAGAAUGACGAACUUUAAGAUCUUUCUUCUGAUGGGAGCAGGAAAUCUUUGGAUCCUUCCAGAGUAGUUUCCAUAUCCGAAGAAAUUUCGGGCAAAUUUAAGAUGGAUAUUGUUUUCAUUCCUUUUUACUUGGAUAAAGUUCUGAGGUCGGAAUGAACAAUAUUCAUCGAGUUAUUUUUUCGACGUAGGUCGAUAGUACGUUCUUUUUUACAUCUCCAGAAAUACUUCUAUUUAUGAGAAGUGGAGGAUGUAAAGAUUUUAGUUAUAGUUUUGAGUAAUUUCGAGUAUAUUUUUUCUUCAUUUUGUGUAAAUAGGAUUGUCAACUAAAUAGUAGCUCUGGAAGGUCAGAUCGAUUGAUGUUUUUUUUUUCUCGAGUUUUUUCUUGUCUCUCAGUUCAGUAGUUUUCGGUUAGUUAGUUCUCUAUAAUACCAGUAAUUUUUGAUGGGCGUUUAGAGUUAACCUUUGUAGGGUUUCACAUGACAUUUCGCUGGAGACCGGAGCUGCAAAGCGUUGAUGGUCAGUUACAGACAGAUCAAUUGAUCUGAUACUGGAAAUAGAGGAUGAGUCAAUUCAGUUUGACGAUGACCACAUAUGACCCCGAAAAUGUUACUAAACAAUUCUGCGAAGGGAGACUCUAUUUUCGCCUUCGAAAAUUUGAUUGGUGCAGGCCAAUCAAAUUUUCGAAAAUUAAGCAGGGAAUGAUGUAGCACGGUACUGAUUUCGACUUUUGGAAGCCCCUCGUUUCGUUAUUUUGAAUUUCAGAUCCAACACAAUCUCUCCUGUGUGGAUCUGGGAUUCUCUCUUCUUUCUAUGUAUUGGAUGUUUGGCAACGCGAGUGCCGCUCCCGAUUUUAGAUUUGAGCAACUAGCCAAAAUGGGUGCUGGAUGUGACUGGGCGGCUGUUUUAGCCAAGACACCCACCUACCAACACUCCGAAAGACUCAUGCUUUCCUUUUUUUUGCUAUUUUUUCAUUUGGAUAUUUCCCCCAAAUGGCAGAGUCUUUCGGCGGGGUUUUCUUGUUCUUCAAAUUUCAAAACCCGGCGAGCGCUUCGACUUGAACUCUGCUCGGGAGGUUAAAGGGUAUCGCCCGCGAAUGCUUGAAUGCGCGACCAAUGAAAGCGCAGGGGAAUUUCGGUAUGAAUACAAAAUAGUUAACAUCGUUAACUAUUACGUAAUUCCGGUUCCAAUGAAUGUCUCGCUGAUCUGAGGAUCUUGAGAUAUGCUUGCCAUUCCGACUUCGAAAGUGAAAAAGGCAGGAGCGGAUUAGUUUGUUCUGGUGUCGCGAGUUGAAAUCCGAAGAAUAGUGAUUAAAUUUAGUCCAGUAGUUGUUUUCCGUGAAUUUAACUCUCCGCUUGUGUCCCCAUUGAGCGGAACUGAAGGAAAAAGCCGCUUCUGACCCACGAUCGGAGAUUGGAUUUCCGCCACCUUGUCCGUCAAUUCUAGUGGCCGCGCGGAGCGCAAACCAUCACUCGCGCAUCCAGGGAAGGCGCAUCACGACACAUCUACGAGUCGAACGCGCACUCAACGCCUACGGACUUACCAUUCAUCGCCUGGCGUGGAACGGCGAUAAGGUAGAUUCUCCACGUAAAACCUAGGUAGUGUGAGUAGAAAACUAUUUUUACCCUAAAAUAACAUGCGCAUGUAGGGUUAAAAGAACCAAAGAAUAAAACCACACACAACUAACAACGCCACACAACAAUGCCACAUGCAAUCGAAGCGUAGAGAUUUACCGACGGCGCGCUUAUGCUGAUCGCUAUUAAUAAAGGGUUACACAAGAUGCGAAAUUAGGCUUUGUAGAAUAAUCGCUGGACUUGAAUCAAUGGGUCCGAUGUUCGAAUCCCGUAAUAGUUAAAUAAAAUUGUUCAUGUAGUUAUUAUUUUUCGUUAAUUGGAAGUUUCGAAGUAAAUGUUGUAAAUAUAAUUAAAACUUGUGGGAUAAUAUGUUGAGUUAGCUGAAUGAAUGUUGUGUGAUAACCAAUAAUUAGAUGUAGACGGAAGUUUUGUGCAUUUACUGGCUAGCGGUGUAGCCUAAAAACCCGAAUAAAUUUCAGAUAGGUCACGAGCCCAGGGUUGGGGCUCCUCUUCUGUUGUGGACAACUUUUCAACCCCCGCACCUCGUCCUCUGAAACUUCAAGGUGGGUGGGUUUGGCAUCAUUGCGUAGGUCCAAUGAUGAGAAUUUUGGCAUAAACGGUGUUCAUUGGAAACAACCGUAUUGCCUCUGUUGCCUGAAUUGUGGAACGCGGACAAACGGUGUCGCGGGUCCUUCUUAGCGCAGAAGAGUCGCGGAAAUAACCGGGUUUGUGAGAAAAAGGACAAACCCGCCCUCAGUGGGUGUCUCAUUGCCGGGCAAGGAUAAAACACGGCGGUCGGUCUCCCUCGCGGGAGUGGCGCUUAAGCCGACCGCUUAUCUGCGCAAAA